AAUGACGCUGCAACAGGAUUCUUCUGCAC
rnacentral:misc_RNA from 1 species